rnacentral:lncRNA from 1 species
ACAGGUCUCAAGACUCAUCUCCCUACCUGUUGUCACAUGCCAGUGCCCCUGUGGAGCUCUCUGUCUCAGGACACAUUGGAUCCUCCAGCCCACCAAACUCAAGUCCCUUGCCCACAGCGGCUUGUGACUGUGGGAGGCAAACACAACAGAGACCCAAGAAGCCCAGGACUUAGAGGUUGAGAUUCAGAAGAUGGUGUCCAGAGAGAGAUCUUUUUGCUCAGUCUGGAGGAUGGGGCAGGUGGAUGAGAUGAAGAGCAGGGAUCCCAGACACUCAUCUCCCCAUCAGCCUCUAAGGUCCUGAGAAAUCACCUCUUACCUGCAUUGAGUCAGGCCCCAGAAGGCUCUGUAACCAUCCUGUUGGAUGUGGUACCCAGAUGGGCAAUAGCUAGUUAUGGGCUGGAUACAGCUGCUUCUGGAGAUGCUGACUUGGACAAGUCCUUCCCAUUCUGAGCUGGCUGCUG